ensembl:lincRNA
GGCCCACCCACCUCCUGCCCCCACCCCCGGACCCUUUUCUUCCUCUGCAGCCCCCAUCCCUCCUCCCAGCGCCCAACCACCUGAGGAGGGUGUCCCUGGCGCUGAGGCCCCCUCCGUGCGCCCCACGCGCCUCUGGACUUGGUGUCCGUGCACCAGGCUGAAGCCCCCUUCCCCCGGGGCAGAACGCACCCGUGGAUCCUCUGAAUUCUUCCCAAUUUGAGUCAACAGCCUCUCCAGACCUGGCCAAGGCGCAACCUCCUUGGCCUCCUGCCGCAGCCUCACAUUGCUCCACCCCGACUCCAGAACAGCCAAGGGACCCCUCUGGUGCUUGGGUCCCACGGGCCACCCUCUUCGUCCUCCUGGUUUCCUGGUUUCCACUGGCUCUGCCCACACCUCCCAGCGCACCCAGCCUCCUCCUGAGCUUCUCGUGGUAUCCCGCGCCCUCUCUGUGCUGCGUUGAGGUGGGGAGAACCAGCCACAGGGUGCAGGACCGGGACGUGGAGCUGAGACCCCGCGGGGGAGCAGGCGGGGAAGGAGUGUCUCAGGAAGAAGGAGUGGCUGGAGGCAGGGGCCUGCGCAGGGUGGCCAGACCCACGGAGGGGGCAGCGUCCCGGUGUCAAGGCACCCACUGUCUGGUACCCGCCACAGAGUCCCGCUGUUGUAGGAUGGUGGCUUGGGAGGAGGGGCAGUGGCUGAGCCUGGAAGGUGGUCGCGCUAGUAAAGUGUGGGGGUCCUUUGGUUUUUUUAAACAGCUUCAUUGAAAUAAAACUCACAUGAUCAUACAAUUUACCCCUUUAAUUCAGGGGCUUCUAGUGUCUUCAGAGUUGUCCAGCCAUCUUCACCGUCUACCUCUGGAACCUUCCGGUCAUCCCCCAGAGGGACCCUGUUCCCAUUAGCAAUCACUCCUCUCUUUCCUCCCCUCCCCCCGCCACCACUAAUCUACUUUCUGUCUCCAUGGAUUUGCCAAUUUUGGACAUUUCACACAAAUGGCAUCAGACAAUAUGUGACCUCCGCGUCUGCCUUCGUUCACUUAGCAUAAUGGUUUUAAGGUCCAUCCAUGAAGUGGCAGGAACCAGUACUGGGCCUUUUCGCGGCCGGAUAAUAGUCCAGUGAGUGGACUUACCGUCCUUUGUCUGCCGGCUCGUCUAUCAGCGGUCAUUUGGGUCGCUCCCACUUCUUGGCUAUGGUGACCAGCGCUGCUGUAAACAUUCGCAUCCGAGUUUUUGUGUAUGCAUGCCUGCGAGUGAGAUUGCCAGGUAAUCUAGUCGCCCAGUCCACCUUCUGGUAAACAGAUGGACAGUUUUCUACAGUGUUCAUGCAUUUAAACUUCUUUUUACUUAAAAAAAAUUUUUUUUAGUUGUAGAUGGACACAAUACCUUAAUUUUAUUUAUUUAUUUUCAUGUGGUACUGAGGAUCGAACCCAGGGCCUCACCCGUGCUAGGCAAGCGCUCUACCGCUGAGCCCCAGCCCCAGCCCCCCUUUAAAUUUCUCACAAGCAAUGUGCGGAUAUUCCCAUUUCUCCACAUCCUCCCCAGCACUUGUUACUGCCUGUCUUUUUAUUAGAACCCUCUCAGUGGAGAGAUGUAAACUGGCAUUUCCUUGUGGUUUUUGUCUAAUGGCUCGUGAUGUUGGGUGUCUUUUCAUGUAUUUAUUGACCAUUUGUAUAUUUAAAAAUUAUAUUUUUAGUUGUAGAUGGACAUGGCAUUUUUAUUGUAUUUAUUUUAUUUUUAUGUGGUGCUGAGGAUCAAGCCCAGUGCCUCACACAUGCGAGGCAAGCACUCUGCCACUGAGCUACAACCCAAGACUUAUACGUCUUCUUUGGAGAAGAAAAAUCUUU